rnacentral:rRNA from 1 species
AUUGAACGCUGGCGGCAUGCCUUACACAUGCAAGUCGAACGGUAACAGGUCUUCGGACGCUGACGAGUGGCGAACGGGUGAGUAAUACAUCGGAACGUGCCCAGUCGUGGGGGAUAACUACUCGAAAGAGUAGCUAAUACCGCAUACGAUCUGAGGAUGAAAGCGGGGGACCUUCGGGCCUCGCGCGAUUGGAGCGGCCGAUGGCAGAUUAGGUAGUGGGUGGGAUAAAAGCUUACCAAGCCGACGAUCUGUAGCUGGUCUGAGAGGACGACCAGCCACACUGGGACUGAGACACGGCCCAGACUCCUACGGGAGGCAGCAGUGGGGAAUUUUGGACAAUGGGCGAAAGCCUGAUCCAGCAAUGCCGCGUGCAGGAUGAAGGCCUUCGGGUUGUAAACUGCUUUUGUACGGAACGAAAAAGCUUCUCCUAAUACGAGGGGCCCAUGACGGUACCGUAAGAAUAAGCACCGGCUAACUACGUGCCAGCCGCCGCCGUAAUAC